rnacentral:rRNA from 1 species
UACGUAGGUGGCAAGCGUUAUCCGGAAUUAUUGGGCGUAAAGAGCGCGCAGGUGGUUGAUUAAGUCUGAUGUGAAAGCCCACGGCUUAACCGUGGAGGGUCAUUGGAAACUGGUCGACUUGAGUGCAGAAGAGGGAAGUGGAAUUCCAUGUGUAGCGGUGAAAUGCGUAGAGAUAUGGAGGAACACCAGUGGCGAAGGCGGCUUCCUGGUCUGUAACUGACACUGAGGCGCGAAAGCGUGGGUAGCGAACAGGAUUAGAUA